rnacentral:rRNA from 1 species
AUUGAACGCUGGCGGCAGGCCUAACACAUGCAAGUCGAGCGGACGAAGGGAGCUUGCUCCUGUAUUCAGCGGCGGACGGGUGAGUAAUGCCUAGGAAGCUGCCUGGUAGUGGGGGAUAACGUCCGGAAACGGGCGCUAAUACCGCAUACGUCCUGAGGGAGAAAGUGGGGGAUCUUCGGACCUCACGCUAUCAGAUGAGCCUAGGUCGGAUUAGCUAGUUGGUGGGGUAAAGGCCUACCAAGGCGACGAUCCGUAACUGGUCUGAGAGGAUGACCAGUCACACUGGAACUGAGACACGGUCCAGACUCCUACGGGAGGCAGCAGUGGGGAAUAUUGGACAAUGGGCGAAAGCCUGAUCCAGCCAUGCCGCGUGUGUGAAGAAGGUCUUCGGAUUGUAAAGCACUUUAAGUUGGGAGGAAGGGAAGUAAGUUAAUACCUUGCUGUUUUGACGGUACCAACAGAAUAAGCACCGGCUAACUUCGUG